UGGGGAAUUUUGCACAAUGGGGGAAACCCUGAUGCAGCGACGCCGCGUGAUUUAGAAGGCCUUCGGGUUGUAAAAAUCUUUUCUAUGGGAAGAAAAUGACAGUACCAUAGGAAUAAGGACCGGCUAAUUACGUGCCAGCAGCCGCGGUAAUACGUAAGGUCCGAGCGUUGUCCGGAAUCAUUGGGCGUAAAGGGUACGUAGGCGGGUAAGCAAGUUAGAAGUGAAAUCCUAUGACUCAACUAUAGUAAGCUUUUAAAACUGCUCAUCUUGAGGUAUGGAAGGGAAAGUGGAAUUCCUAGUGUAGCGGUGGAAUGCGCAGAUAUUAGGAGGAAUACCGGUGCCGAAGGCGACUUUCUGGCCAUAACCUGACCCUGAGGUACGAAAGCGUAGGUAGCAAACAGG
rnacentral:rRNA from 1 species